GAUGAACGCUAGCGGCAGGCUUAACACAUGCAAGUCGAGGGGUAUAGAGAGCUUGCUUCCUAGAGACCGGCGCACGGGUGCGUACGCGUAUGCAAUCUACCUUUUACAGGGGGAUAGCCCAGAGAAAUUUGGAUUAAUACCCCACGGUAUUAUGGAAUGGCAUCAUUCUGUAAUUAAAGUCACAACGGUAAAAGAUGAGC
rnacentral:rRNA from 1 species